AAGUCGUAACAAGGUCUCCGUAGGUGAACCUGCGGAGGGAUCAUCAAAGAAUUAUUCACACAGAAAAGAUUGGAGGGGGGGGAGUUUGAGAGAUUCACGUCUCUCGUUCGCUUCUUCUGAUCUUUUCUGAACAAACAAACAUACAUGACUAGGAAAAACAAAUUUGAUUUGGUUUGACAAACAAGAAGUUCUUGGCUGAUAAGUAGCAUUGAUUUGGAAUGUGAAUCUAUAUCAAUACAACUUUCAACAACGGAUCUCUUGGCUCUCA
rnacentral:misc_RNA from 1 species